UACGUAGGGUGCGAGCGUUAAUCGGAAUUACUGGGCGUAAAGCGUGCGCAGGCGGUUCGUUAUGUCCGAUGUGAAAGCCCCGAGCUUAACUUGGGAACUGCAUUGGAAACUAACGGGCUCGAGUGUGGCAGAGGGGGGUGGAAUUCCACGUGUAGCAGUGAAAUGCGUAGAGAUGUGGAGGAACACCGAUGGCGAAGGCAGCCCCCUGGGCUAACACUGACGCUCAGGCACGAAAGCGUGGGGAGCAAACAGG
rnacentral:rRNA from 1 species